rnacentral:rRNA from 10 species
AGAGUUUGAUCAUGGCUCAGAUUGAACGCUGGCGGCAGGCCUAACACAUGCAAGUCGAACGGUAACAGGAAACAGCUUGCUGUUUCGCUGACGAGUGGCGGACGGGUGAGUAAUGUCUGGGAAACUGCCUGAUGGGGGGGGAUAACUACUGGAAACGGUAGCUAAUACCGCAUAACGUCGCAAGACCAAAGAGGGGGACCUUCGGGCCUCUUGCCAUCGGAUGUGCCCAGAUGGGAUUAGCUUGUUGGUGGGGUAACGGCUCACCAAGGCGACGAUCCCUAGCUGGUCUGAGAGGAUGACCAGCCACACUGGAACUGAGACACGGUCCAGACUCCUACGGGAGGCAGCAGUGGGGAAUAUUGCACAAUGGGCGCAAGCCUGAUGCAGCCAUGCCGCGUGUAUGAAGAAGGCCUUCGGGUUGUAAAGUACUUUCAGCGGGGAGGAAGGGAGUAAAGUUAAUACCUUUACUCAUUGACGUUACCCGCAGAAGAAGCACCGGCUAACUCCGUGCCAGCAGCCGCGGUAAUACGGAGGGUGCAAGCGUUAAUCGGAAUUACUGGGCGUAAAGCGCACGCAGGCGGUUUGUUAAGUCAGAUGUGAAAUCCCCGGGCUCAACCUGGGAACUGCAUCUGAUACUGGCAAGCUUGAGUCUCGUAGAGGGGGGUAGAAUUCCAGGUGUAGCGGUGAAAUGCGUAGAGAUCUGGAGGAAUACCGGUGGCGAAGGCGGCCCCCUGGACGAAGACUGACGCUCAGGUGCGAAAGCGUGGGGAGCAAACAGGAUUAGAUACCCUGGUAGUCCACGCCGUAAACGAUGUCGACUUGGAGGUUGUGCCCUUGAGGCGUGGCUUCCGGAGCUAACGCGUUAAGUCGACCGCCUGGGGAGUACGGCCGCAAGGUUAAAACUCAAAUGAAUUGACGGGGGCCCGCACAAGCGGUGGAGCAUGUGGUUUAAUUCGAUGCAACGCGAAGAACCUUACCUGGUCUUGACAUCCACGGAAGUUUUCAGAGAUGAGAAUGUGCCUUCGGGAACCGUGAGACAGGUGCUGCAUGGCUGUCGUCAGCUCGUGUUGUGAAAUGUUGGGUUAAGUCCCGCAACGAGCGCAACCCUUAUCCUUUGUUGCCAGCGGUCCGGCCGGGAACUCAAAGGAGACUGCCAGUGAUAAACUGGAGGAAGGUGGGGAUGACGUCAAGUCAUCAUGGCCCUUACGACCAGGGCUACACACGUGCUACAAUGGCGCAUACAAAGAGAAGCGACCUCGCGAGAGCAAGCGGACCUCAUAAAGUGCGUCGUAGUCCGGAUUGGAGUCUGCAACUCGACUCCAUGAAGUCGGAAUCGCUAGUAAUCGUGGAUCAGAAUGCCACGGUGAAUACGUUCCCGGGCCUUGUACACACCGCCCGUCACACCAUGGGAGUGGGUUGCAAAAGAAGUAGGUAGCUUAACCUUCGGGAGGGCGCUUACCACUUUGUGAUUCAUGACUGGGGUGAAGUCGUAACAAGGUAACCGUAGGGGAACCUGCGGUUGGAUCACCU